GCAUUAACACUAUGCAAGUCGAGCGGUAAGGCCCUUCGGGGUACACGAGCGGCGAACGGGUGAGUAACACGUGAGCAACCUGCCCCUGACUCCGGGAUAAGCGGUGGAAACGCCUGUCUAAUACCGGAUACGACCCGCCACCUCAUGGUGGAGGGUGGAAAGUUUUUCGGUCAGGGAUGGGCUCGCGGCCUAUCAGCUUGUUGGUGGGGUAACGGCCUACCAAGGCGAUUACGGGUAGCCGGCCUGAGAGGGCGACCGGCCACACUGGGACUGAGACACGGCCCAGACUCCUGCGGGAGGCAGCAGUGGGGAAUAUUGCGCAAUGGGCGAAAGCCUGACGCAGCGACGCCGCGUGGGGGAUGACGGCCUUCGGGUUGUAAACCUCUUUUACCACCAACGCAGGCCCGGAGUUCUCUUCGGGUUGACGGUAGGUGGGGAAUAAGGACCGGCUAACUACGUGCCAGCAGCCGCGGUAAUACGUAGGGUCCGAGCGUUGUCCGGAAUUAUUGGGCGUAAAGAGCUCGUAGGCGGCGUGUCGCGUCUGCUGUGAAAGACCGGGGCUUAACUCCGGUUCUGCAGUGGAUACGGGCAUGCUAGAGGUAGGUAGGGGAGACUGGAAUUCCUGGUGUAGCGGUGAAAUGCGCAGAUAUCAGGAGGAACACCGGUGGCGAAGGCGGGUCUCUGGGCCUUACCUGCCGCUGAGGAGCGU
rnacentral:rRNA from 1 species